rnacentral:rRNA from 1 species
GACGAACGCUGGCGGCGUGCUUAACACAUGCAAGUCGAACGGAAAGGCCCUGCUUUUGUGGGGUGCUCGAGUGGCGAACGGGUGAGUAACACGUGAGUAACCUGCCCUUGACUUUGGGAUAACUUCAGGAAACUGGGGCUAAUACCGGAUAGGAGCUCCUGCUGCAUGGUGGGGGUUGGAAAGUUUCGGCGGUUGGGGAUGGACUCGCGGCUUAUCAGCUUGUUGGUGGGGUAGUGGCUUACCAAGGCUUUGACGGGUAGCCGGCCUGAGAGGGUGACCGGCCACAUUGGGACUGAGAUACGGCCCAGACUCCUACGGGAGGCAGCAGUGGGGAAUAUUGCACAAUGGGCGGAAGCCUGAUGCAGCAACGCCGCGUGCGGGAUGACGGCCUUCGGGUUGUAAACCGCUUUCGCCUGUGACGAAGCGUGAGUGACGGUAAUGGGUAAAGAAGCACCGGCUAACUACGUGCCAGCAGCCGCGGUGAUACGUAGGGUGCGAGCGUUGUCCGGAUUUAUUGGGCGUAAAGGGCUCGUAGGUGGUUGAUCGCGUCGGAAGUGUAAUCUUGGGGCUUAACCCUGAGCGUGCUUUCGAUACGGGUUGACUUGAGGAAGGUAGGGGAGAAUGGAAUUCCUGGUGGAGCGGUGGAAUGCGCAGAUAUCAGGAGGAACACCAGUGGCGAAGGCGGUUCUCUGGGCCUUUCCUGACGCUGAGGAGCGAAAGCGUGGGGAGCGAACAGGCUUAGAUACCCUGGUAGUCCACGCUGUAAACGGUGGGUACUAGGUGUGGGGUCCAUUCCACGGGUUCCGUGCCGUAGCUAACGCUUUAAGUACCCCGCCUGGGGAGUACGGCCGCAAGGCUAAAACUCAAAGGAAUUGACGGGGCCCCGCACAAGCGGCGGAGCAUGCGGAUUAAUUCGAUGCAACGCGUAGAACCUUACCUGGGUUUGACAUGGAUCGGGAGCGCUCAGAGAUGGGUGUGCCUCUUUUGGGGUCGGUUCACAGGUGGUGCAUGGCUGUCGUCAGCUCGUGUCGUGAGAUGUUGGGUUAAGUCCCGCAACGAGCGCAACCCUUGUUCACUGUUGCCAGCACGUUAUGGUGGGGACUCAGUGGAGACCGCCGGGGUCAACUCGGAGGAAGGUGGGGAUGACGUCAAGUCAUCAUGCCCCUUAUGUCCAGGGCUUCACGCAUGCUACAAUGGCUGGUACAGAGAGUGGCGAGCCUGUGAGGGUGAGCGAAUCUCGGAAAGCCGGUCUCAGUUCGGAUUGGGGUCUGCAACUCGACCUCAUGAAGUCGGAGUCGCUAGUAAUCGCAGAUCAGCAACGCUGCAGUGAAUACGUUCCCGGGGCU